GACGAACGCUGGCGGCGUGCUUAACACAUGCAAGUGGAGCGACGAACCAGGGCUUGCCCUGGGGCAGAGCCGCGAACGGGUGAGUAACACGUGGUAACCUGCCCUGAUGACCGGGACAACCCGAGGAAACUCGGGCUAAUACCGGAUCUGACUGACUCACCUCAGUGAAGUAGUUAAAGGUAGCUUCGGCUUCCGCAUCCUGAGGGGCCCGCGGCCCAUUAGCUUGUUGGUGAGGUAAAGGCUUACCAAGGCUUCGAUGGGUAGCUGGUCUGAGAGGACGAUCAGCCACACUGGGACUGAGACACGGCCCAGACUCCUACGGGAGGCAGCAGUGGGGAAUCUUGCGCAAUGCGCGAAAGCGUGACGCAGCAACGCCGCGUGGGGGAAGAAGGCCUUCGGGUUGUAAACCCCUUUCAGGAGGGACGAAGGUCAGGCGGUUAAUAGCCGUCCUGACUGACGGUACCUCCAGAAGAAGCCCCGGCUAACUACGUGCCAGCCGCCGCCGUAAUAC
rnacentral:rRNA from 1 species